CCUACGGGCGGCAGCAGUAGGGAAUAUUGCUCAAUGGGGGAAACUCUGAAGCAGCAACGCCGCGUGGAGGAUGAAGGUCUUCGGAUUGUAAACUCCUGUCGUUAGAGAAGAUAAUGACGGUAUCUAACGAAUAAGCACCGGCUAACUACGUGCCAGCAGCCGCGGUAAUACGGAGGGUGCAAGCGUUAGUCGGAAUCACUGGGCGUAAAGAGCGCGUAGGCGGGAUAGCAAGUCAGAUGUGAAAUCCUAUGGCUUAACCAUAGAACUGCAUUUGAAAUUGUUAUUCUAGAGUAUGGGAGAGGUAGGUGGAAUUCUUGGUGUAGGGGUAAAAUGCGUAGAGAUCAGGAGGAAUACUCGUUGCGAAGGCGACCUGCUAGAACAUAACUGACGCUGAUGCGCGAAAGCGUGGGGAGCAAACAGGAUUAGAUACCCGUGUAGUC
rnacentral:rRNA from 1 species